CUGGCACGUAGGCAGCAGCCCAAGAGGGCUGAUGCUUACACUUUGCCGUUUCUUUUCCCUGUCCCUGUGCCAGGACCCAUGCAUCUGAGCUCCUGCCAGCCAGACGUGCGCUGUCUCCCCUCCAGGGAUGGAGGUGCCCUGGUGGGGGCAGAGGUGUGCUGUGGGAAGAUUAACCCUGAGCUAACAUCUGCCACCAAUCCUCCUCUUUUUGCUGAGGAAGACUGGCCCUGAGCUAACAUCUGUGCCCAUCUUCUUCUACUUUAUAUGUGGGACGCCUACCACAGCAUGGCUUGUCAAGCGGUGCCAUGUCCACACCCGGGAUCUGAACUGGCAAACCCCGGGCUGCCAAAGAGGAACGUGCGCACUUAACUGCUGCGCCACUGGGCCGGCCCUGUGAUUAUUUACUAUGAGUUCUUUAUAUAUUCUGCAUGUUAUAAAAGUCUAUUCUUGGGAGCAGCACAAACGCAAGGUGCCCAGGAUUGACCAGAACGGCAUCAAGCCCAGUCACCUUCCCCAUCGUCUGAGGCCGACUGUGCACCCCAGCCUGGCAGGCUCCGUGACUCUGAGUUAAGAAUACUCAUAGCUGGCUUGUCUCCACUGCUCACUGUCCGCUGGCGCCCUGUCUGAGCUCAUUCAAUCUCUCAGCAUCCUUGGGGCAUGCCUCUUCGGGCUACGAACCUCCCCCAGCGCUGCCUCCACCUGUGGGAGGUCAGAAUGAAUGCUGAGCUUUGAGCAGCAGACAGAAUUGCCAGCUCCCGGCACAUUCGCGUUGCACAGCAAUGACCCUCAUCAUGGACAACACCGCCUGCAGGCUGACUCUCUUCCAGGCUUUGGGUCAAGUUCUUCCCACGCAUUAUCCUAU
rnacentral:lncRNA from 1 species